rnacentral:sRNA from 1 species
GCUGGGUGUGGUGGCUCACGCCUGUAAUCCCAGCACUUUGGGAGGCCGAGGUGGGUGGAUCACCUGAGGUCAGGAGUUUGAGACCAGCCUGGCUAAGAUGGUGAAACCCCAUCUCUACUAAAAAUACAAAAAUUAAACGAGGUGCGGUGGUUCACACCUGUAAUCUCAACACUGGGAGACCAAAGUGGGUGGAUCACCUGAGGUAAGGAGUUUGAGACCAGCCUGGCCAACAUGGUGAAACCCCGUCUCU